rnacentral:rRNA from 1 species
AACGCGUGGAAAACCUACCUCUUUGUGGGGAAUAACGCUCCGAAAGGAGUGGUAAUACCGCAUGAGACCAUUGGGAUGAAACCUAGGCAAGGAGAGGGUUCUGCGUCUGAUUAGCUAGUUGGUGGGGUAACGGCCUACCAAGGCGACGAUCAGUAGCCGGCCUGAGAGGGUGAUCGGCCACACUGGAACUGAGACACGGUCCAGACUCCUACGGGAGGCAGCAGUGGGGAAUUUUGCGCAAUGGGCGAAAGCCUGACGCAGCAACGCCGCGUGGGUGAUGAAGGUCUUCGGAUCGUAAAACCCUGUCGUCGGGGACGAAUGACGGUACCCGGAGAGGAAGCCCCGGCUAACUCUGUGCCAGCAGCCGCGGUAAUACAGAGGGGGCAAGCGUUAUUCGGAAUUAUUGGGCGUAAAGGGCGC